UCCCUGGUGGUCCAGUGGGUAAGACUCUGUGCUCCAGUGCAGGGGGCCUGGGUUUGAACCCUGGUCAGGGAA
rfam:Ovis aries breed Texel chromosome 11, whole genome shotgun sequence.